CCUACGGGUGGCAGCAGUGAGGAAUAUUGGUCAAUGGACGCAAGUCUGAACCAGCCAUGCCGCGUGCAGGAAGACGGCUCUAUGAGUUGUAAACUGCUUUUGUACGAGGGUAAACGCAGAUACGCGUAUCUGUCUGAAAGUAUCGUACGAAUAAGGAUCGGCUAACUCCGUGCCAGCAGCCGCGGUAAUACGGAGGAUUCAAGCGUUAUCCGGAUUUAUUGGGUUUAAAGGGUGCGUAGGCGGUCGGAUAAGUUAGAGGUAAAAUCCCGGGGCUCAACUUCGGAAUUGCCUCUGAUACUGUUGGGCUGGAGAGUAGUUGCGGUAGGCGGAAUGUAUGGUGUAGCGGUGAAAUGCUUAGAGAUCAUACAGAACCCCAAUUGCGAAGGCAGCUUACCAAGCUACUU
rnacentral:rRNA from 1 species